AGAGUUUGAUCCUGGCUCAGGACGAACGCUGGCGGCGCGCUUAACACAUGCAAGUCGAGCGAGAACCGGUCCUUCGGGACCGGGGAAAGCGGCGAACGGGUGAGUAACACGUGGGUAAUCCACCCUCGGCACCGGAAUAGCCCGGGGAAACCCGGAUUAAUGCCGGAUGGCCCAGCAGCUCUUCGGGGCGGUUGGAAAAGGUAGCUUCGGCCUCCGGCCGGGGACGAGCCCGCGGCGGAUUAGCUUGUUGGUGGGGUAACGGCCCACCAAGGCGACGAUCCGUAGCUGGUCUGAGAGGACGAUCAGCUACACUGGGACUGAGACACGGCCCAGACUCCUACGGGAGGCAGCAGUGGGGAAUCUUGCGCAAUGGGCGAAAGCCUGACGCAGCGACGCCGCGUGAGGGAAGAAGGCUUUCGGGUUGUAAACCUCUUUCAGGAGGGACGAAGCUACUCGGGUUAAUAGCCCAGAGGGUGACGGUACCUCCAGAAGAAGCCCCGGCUAACUACGUGCCAGCAGCCGCGGUAAUA
rnacentral:rRNA from 1 species